UUCAGUUUUCAAUCCCAGUUUAAAGGGAUGUGCGUAGUGAGAUGGUGGGCUGCUUUAAUGUCCUUAUUAGAAGGUUGUACCAUGCUUUGCUCUUCUUCUAGAACCACUGGUUCACCUACAAUGAGACAAUGACAGUGGAGAGUGUGACCCAAGCUGUGUCCAAUCUGGCUUUGCAGUUUGGAGAAGAAGAUGCAGAUCCAGGUGCCAUGUCUCGUCCCUUUGGAGUAGCAUUAUUAUUUGGAGGAGUUGAUGAGAAAGGACCCCAGCUGUAAGUA
rnacentral:lncRNA from 1 species